GUGCCUAUGGUGUAGCGGCAACACGACGCUCUGUGGCAGCGUUGUCGAGGGUUCGAAUCCCUCUAGGCACC
rnacentral:tRNA from 1 species